rnacentral:rRNA from 1 species
AAUUUUAAGGUCAAGCUACAAAGGGCGCAUGGUGAAUGCCUUGGCACUAGGAGCCGAAGAAGGACGCGAUAAGCUGCGAUAAGCCUUGGGUAGCCGCAAAUAGGCUGAGAUCCAGGGAUUUCCGAAUGAGGAAACUCACAUGGGUAACCCCAUGUAUCAUGCACUGAAUACAUAGGUGUAUGAGGGUAAACCCGGGGAACUGAAACAUCUAAGUACCCGGAGGAAGAGAAAGAAAAAUCGAUUUCCUAAGUAGCGGCGAGCGAACGGGAAAGAGCCCAAACCAGAAACUUGUUUCUGGGGUUGUGGAUAGAUCAUAAAAGAAGAGGUAUCUUAAUCGAAGAGGGCUGGAACGCCCUACCAUAGAAGGUAAUAGUCCUGUAGAUAAAAAGAGAAAACUUUAAGAUCUAAUCCAGAGUACCACGAGACACGUGAAACCUUGUGGGAAGCAGGGAGGACCACCUCCCAAGGCUAAAUACUACCUAGUGACCGAUAGUGAAGCAGUACCGUGAGGGAAAGGUGAAAAGAACCCCGGAAGGGGAGUGAAAUAGAACCUGAAACCGUGUGCCUACAACCGAUCGGAGCACGUUAAAGUGUGACGAUGUGCUUUUUGUAGAACGAGCCAGCGAGUUACGCUAUGUAGCAAGGUUAAGUACUUAAGGUAUGGAGCCGAAGGGAAACCGAGUCUGAAAAGGGCGAAAAGUUGCAUGGUGUAGACCCGAAACCGGGUGACCUAUCCAUGGCCAGGUUGAAGCGAGAGUAAAAUCUCGUGGAGGACCGAACCACGUUGGUGUUGAAAAACCAUGGGAUGAGCUGUGGAUAGCGGAGAAAUUCCAAUCGAACUCGGAGAUAGCUGGUUCUCCUCGAAAUAGCUUUAGGGCUAGCGUCGUGUAAUUGAGUAAUGGAGGUAGAGCACUGAAUGGGCUAGGGGCUAUAGUAGUUACCGAACCCUAUCAAACUCCGAAUGCCAUAUACUUGUAUCACGGCAGUCAGACUGCGAAUGAUAAGAUCCGUAGUCAAAAGGGAAACAGCCCAGACCAUCAGCUAAGGUCCCAAAGUGUAAGUUAAGUGGAAAAGGAUGUGGGAUUUCUAAGACAACUAGGAUGUUGGCUUAGAAGCAGCCACUCAUUUAAAGAGUGCGUAAUAGCUCACUAGUCAAGAGAUCCUGCGCCGAAGAUGUCCGGGGCUCAAACUUACCACCGAAGCUAUGGGUGUACACUAUGUGUACGCGGUAGAGGAGCUUUCUGUAUGGGUUGAAGUCGUACCGUAAGGAGCGGUGGACUGUACAGAAGUGAGAAUGCUGGCAUAAGUAGCGAGAAAUAAGUGAGAAUCUUAUUGGCCGAAAACCUAAGGUUUCCUGAGGAAGGUUCGUCCGCUCAGGGUUAGUCGGGACCUAAGCCGAGGCCGAAAGGCGUAGGUGAUGGACAAUCGGUUGAUAUUCCGAUACCACCUAUUUACGUUUGAGAAAUGGGGUGACGCAGUAGGAUAAGAUGUGCGCACUAUUGGAUGUGCGUCUAAGCACUUAGGCAUGCUUGAUAGGCAAAUCCGUCGAGCUAAGCUGAGGUGUGAUGGGGAGCCAUUUAUGGCGAAGUAUCUGAUUCCACACUGCCAAGAAAAGCCUCUAUCGAGUGAAUAGGUGCCCGUACCGCAAACCGACACAGGUAGGUGAGGAGAGAAUCCUAAGGCCAUCGGAAGAAUUGCUGUUAAGGAACUCGGCAAAUUGACCCCGUAACUUCGGGAGAAGGGGUGCCUACGAAAGUAGGCCGCAGAGAAUAGGCCCAAGCAACUGUUUAGCAAAAACACAGGUCUCUGCUAAAGCGAAAGCUGAUGUAUAGGGGCUGACGCCUGCCCGGUGCUGGAAGGUUAAGGGGAACACUUAGCGUAAGCGAAGGUGUGAACUUAAGCCCCAGUAAACGGCGGCCGUAACUAUAACGGUCCUAAGGUAGCGAAAUUCCUUGUCGGGUAAGUUCCGACCCGCACGAAUGGCGUAAUGAUUUGGGCACUGUCUCAACAGCAAAUCCGGCGAAAUUGUAGUGCAAGUGAAGAUGCUUGCUACCCGCGAUUGGACGGAAAGACCCCGUAGAGCUUUACUGUAGCUUAGCAUUGAAUCUCGGUAUUGUCUGUACAGGAUAGGUGGGAGACUUGGAA